UACAGAGGGUGCGAGCGUUAAUCGGAAUUACUGGGCGUAAAGCGUGCGUAGACGGCUAUCUAAGUCGGGUGUGAAAGCCCCGGGCUCAACCUGGGAAUUGCAUUCGAGACUGAAUAGCUAGGGUACGGUAGAGGGAAGUGGAAUUUCCGGUGUAGCGGUGAAAUGCGUAGAUAUCUGGAGGAACACCGGUGGCGAAGGCGGCAUCCUGGACCGGCAUUGACGCUGAGGCGCGAAAGCUAGGGGAGCAAACGGG
rnacentral:rRNA from 1 species